UGGGGAAUAUUGGACAAUGGGCGAAAGCCUGAUCCAGCCAUGCCGCGUGUGUGAAGAAGGUCUUCGGAUUGUAAAGCACUUUAAGUUGGGAGGAAGGGCAUUAACCUAAUACGUUAGUGUUUUGACGUUACCGACAGAAUAAGCACCGGCUAACUCUGUGCCAGCAGCCGCGGUAAUACAGAGGGUGCAAGCGUUAAUCGGAAUUACUGGGCGUAAAGCGCGCGUAGGUGGUUUGUUGAGUUGGAUGUGAAAUCCCCGGGCUCAACCUGGGAACUGCAUUCAGAACUGACUGACUAGAGUAUGGUAGAGGGUGGUGGAAUUUCCUGUGUAGCGGUGAAAUGCGUAGAUAUAGGAAGGAACACCAGUGGCGAAGGCGACCACCUGGACUAAUACUGACACUGAGGUGCGAAAGCGUGGGGAGCAAACA
rnacentral:rRNA from 1 species